GACCGAUAGUGAACCAGUACUGUGAAGGAAAGGCGAAAAGAACCCCGGCGAGGGGAGUGAAAAAGAACCUGAAACCGUGUACGUACAAGCAGUAGGAGCCUCUUUAUGGGGUGACUGCGUACCUUUUGUAUAAUGGGUCAGCGACUUAUAUUCUGUAGCAAGGUUAACCGAAUAGGGGAGCCGAAGGGAAACCGAGUCUUAACUGGGCGUUAAGUUGCAGGGUAUAGACCCGAAACCCGGUGAUCUAGCCAUGGGCAGGUUGAAGGUUGGGUAACACUAACUGGAGGACCGAACCGACUAAUGUUGAAAAAUUAGCGGAUGACUUGUGGCUGGGGGUGAAAGGCCAAUCAAACCGGGAGAUAGCUGGUUCUCCCCGAAAGCUAUUUAGGUAGCGCCUCGUGAAUUCAUCUCCGGGGGUAGAGCACUGUUUCGGCAAGGGGGUCAUCCCGACUUACCAACCCGAUGCAAACUGCGAAUACCGGAGAAUGUUAUCACGGGAGACACACGGCGGGUGCUAACGUCCGUCGUGAAGAGGGAAACAACCCAGACCGCCAGCUAAGGUCCCAAAGUCAUGGUUAAGUGGGAAACGAUGUGGGAAGGCCCAGACAGCCAGGAUGUUGGCUUAGAAGCAGCCAUCAUUUAAAGAAAGCGUAAUAGCUCACUGGUCGAGUCGGCCUGCGCGGAAGAUGUAACGGGGCUAAACCAUGCACCGAAGCUGCGGCAGCGACACUAUGUGUUGUUGGGUAGGGGAGCGUUCUGUAAGCCUGUGAAGGUGGCCUGUGAGGGUUGCUGGAGGUAUCAGAAGUGCGAAUGCUGACAUAAGUAACGAUAAAGCGGGUGAAAAGCCCGCUCGCCGGAAGACCAAGGGUUCCUGUCCAACGUUAAUCGGGGCAGGGUGAGUCGACCCCUAAGGCGAGGCCGAAAGGCGUAGUCGAUGGGAAACAGGUUAAUAUUCCUGUACUUGGUGUUACUGCGAAGGGGGGACGGAGAAGGCUAUGUUGGCCGGGCGACGGUUGUCCCGGUUUAAGCGUGUAGGCUGGUUUUCCAGGCAAAUCCGGAAAACCAAGGCUGAGGCGUGAUGACGAGGCACUACGGUGCUGAAGCGACAAAUGCCCUGCUUCCAGGAAAAGCCUCUAAGCAUCAGGUAACAUCAAAUCGUACCCCAAACCGACACAGGUGGUCAGGUAGAGAAUACCAAGGCGCUUGAGAGAACUCGGGUGAAGGAACUAGGCAAAAUGGUGCCGUAACUUCGGGAGAAGGCACGCUGAUAUGUAGGUGAAGCGACUUGCUCGUGGAGCUGAAAUCAGUCGAAGAUACCAGCUGGCUGCAACUGUUUAUUAAAAACACAGCACUGUGCAAACACGAAAGUGGACGUAUACGGUGUGACGCCUGCCCGGUGCCGGAAGGUUAAUUGAUGGGGUUAGCGGCAACGCGAAGCUCUUGAUCGAAGCCCCGGUAAACGGCGGCCGUAACUAUAACGGGCCUAAGGUAGCGAAAUUCCUUGUCGGGUAAGUUCCGACCCGCACGAAAGGCGUAA
rnacentral:rRNA from 1 species